GAUGAACGCUGGCGGCGUGCCUAAUACAUGCAAGUCGAACGGGGAGUAGCAAUACUCUUAGUGGCGAACGGGUGAGUAACGCGUUGGUACCUGCCCCGAAGCGGGGGAUAACGGACCGAAAGGUCCGCUAAUACCCCAUGUGCUCGGUAACGAGUAAAGGUGAAAACCACUUUGGGAGGGGCAUGCGUCCCAUCAGCUAGUUGGUAAGGUAACGGCUUACCAAGGCGAUGACGGGUAGGGGACCUGAGAGGGUGGCCCCCCACAAUGGAACUGAAACACGGUCCAUACACCUACGGGUGGCAGCAGUAGGGAAUAUUGGUAAUGGGCGCAAGCCUGAACCAGCAACGCCGCGUGGGCGAUGACGGCCUUCGGGUUGUAAAGCACUUUUGACUGGGACGAGGAAGGACGGUACCGGUCGAAUCAGCCUCGGCUAACUACGUG
rnacentral:rRNA from 1 species